AUAAACUUCCCAUUGCCCUCACCUUGAUCUCUACAUUUCCUGCCCGUUCUGUCCCAUUCUUCUUGCCGUUCUCUAACCCUCCACCCCCUCCCGAUUCUGGCCUGCUUCCUCUGUAAUCCUUCAUAGCGGCACAUCUCCUCCAGAUCGAUAUUCUGUGCUCCCACUCUCCGCAAGGGGCCCUCGGGUUUUGUACUUAGGCCGUGGGAGACCAUUCAAAACAUUUUCUUUCUUUUCCACGUGGCUCCCGACUGUUCUUUCCAAAACUUUACGCAG